rnacentral:rRNA from 1 species
UACGUAGGGUGCGAGCGUUGUCCGGAUUUAUUGGGCGUAAAGGGCUCGUAGGCGGCGUGUCGCGUCGGGAGUGAAAGCCCGUUGCUUAACGGCGGGUUGGCUUUCGGUACGGGCAUGCUGGAGUGCGGCAGGGGAGACUGGAAUUCCUGGUGUAGCGGUGGAAUGCGCAGAUAUCAGGAGGAACACCGGUGGCGAAGGCGGGUCUCCUGGGCCGUAACUGGACGC